rnacentral:rRNA from 1 species
GUGGGGAAUUUUGGACAAUGGGGGCAACCCUGAUCCAGCCAUGCCGCGUGCGGGAAGAAGGCCUUCGGGUUGUAAACCGCUUUUGUCAGGGAAGAAAUCCUUUGGGUUAAUACCUCGGAGGGAUGACGGUACCUGAAGAAUAAGCACCGGCUAACUACGUGCCAGCAGCCGCGGUAAUACGUAGGGUGCGAGCGUUAAUCGGAAUUACUGGGCGUAAAGCGUGCGCAGGCGGUUUUGUAAGAUCGAUGUGAAAUCCCCGGGCUCAACCUGGGAACUGCAUUGGUGACUGCAAGGCUGGAGUGCGGCAGAGGGGGAUGGAAUUCCGGGUGUAGCAGUGAAAUGCGUAGAUAUGCGGAGGAACACCGAUGGCGAAGGCAAUCCCCUGGGCCUGCACUGACGCUCAUGCACGAAAGCGUGGGGAGCAAACAGGAUUAGAAACCCGGGUAGUCC